UAUCCCUGACUAUGGGUGCAUCUCUGG
rnacentral:piRNA from 1 species